rnacentral:rRNA from 1 species
GGGUCAGUAGGUUGGUCGUGCCACCGGUACGUACUGGUCUCACUGAUUCCUCCUUCCUGAAGAAACGUAAUGCCAUUAAUUUGGUGUUGCGGGGAAACAGGACUGUUACUUUGAAAAAAUUAGAGUGUUUAAAGCAAGCUAACGCUUGAAUACAUUAGCAUGGAAUAAUGAAAUAGGACGAUCGAUCCUAUUUUGUUGGUUUCUAGGAUUGACGUA